UACGGAGGGUGCAAGCGUUAUCCGGAUUCACUGGGUUUAAAGGGUGCGUAGGCGGGCAGGUAAGUCCGUGGUGAAAUCCCCGAGCUUAACUCGGGAACUGCCAUGGAUACUAUUUGUCUUGAAUAUUGUGGAGGUAAGCGGAAUAUGUCAUGUAGCGGUGAAAUGCUUAGAUAUGACAUAGAACACCAAUUGCGAAGGCAG
rnacentral:rRNA from 1 species